GACGAACGCUGGCGGCGUGCUUAACACAUGCAAGUCGAACGGAAAGGCCCUGCUUUUGUGGGGUGCUCGAGUGGCGAACGGGUGAGUAACACGUGAGUAACCUGCCCUUGACUUUGGGAUAACCUCAGGAAACUGGGGCUAAUACCGGAUAGGAGCUCCUGCUGCAUGGUGGGCGUUGGAAAGUUUAGGCGGUUGGGGAUGGACUAGCGGAUUAUCAGCUUGAUGGUGGGGUAGUGGCAUACCAUGGCUUUGAAGGGUAGCCUGCCUGAGAGGGUGACCGGCCCCGUUAGGACUGAGAUACGAACCAGACUCGAAUGGUAGGCAACGGUGGCGAGUAGUAUACAGUAGGCGGGAGCCUGGUGCGACAACGCCGCGUGCGGGAAGAGGUCAUUGGCGUAGUGAACCGCUUCUGCCUUAGACGAGGCGAUAAUGACGGUAACGGGAGAAUAAGCACCGGCUAACUACGUG
rnacentral:rRNA from 1 species